rnacentral:lncRNA from 1 species
AUGAUUCCCAAAGGGAAGACACCCUGAGUCAAUCCAACUUCCUCUAGUUGUGGCUAUUAACACCACCAUCACUGCCAUCAUCCCAAGUGUCGAUGACUGUAGAGAAAUUCAACUAGCUUGAGCAGCAUAUCCCAAUCCCAACCAACUUGGUUAGGAGCCCGAUCCUGGAGAGGAGGAACCAACCAGCUGAGCAAUCUCGACAUCAAUUGGAUUGGCAACCAUGG